GACGAACGCUGGCGGCGUGCCUAAUACAUGCAAGUCGAGCGCAGGAAACUGACGGAACUCUUCGGAGGGAAGGCAGUGGAAUGAGCGGCGGACGGGUGAGUAACACGUAAGGAACCUGCCUUAAGGAUUGGGAUAACUCCGAGAAAUCGGAGCUAAUACCGGAUAGUUCAUCGGACCGCAUGGUCCGUUGAUGAAAGGCGCUCCGGCGUCACCUUGAGAUGGCCUUGCGGUGCAUUAGCUAGUUGGUGGGGUAACGGCCCACCAAGGCGACGAUGCAUAGCCGACCUGAGAGGGUGAUCGGCCACACUGGGACUGAGACACGGCCCAGACUCCUACGGGAGGCAGCAGUAGGGAAUCUUCCACAAUGGACGAAAGUCUGAUGGAGCAACGCCGCGUGAGUGAUGAAGGUUUUCGGAUCGUAAAACUCUGUUGUAAGGGAAGAACACGUACGAGAGGAAAUGCUCGUACCUUGACGGUACCUUACGAGAAAGCCACGGCUAACUACGUGCCAGCCGCCGCCGUAA
rnacentral:rRNA from 1 species